AUUGAACGCUGGCGGCAGGCCUAACACAUGCAAGUCGAGCGGAAACGGGUUAUCUGAACCUUCGGGGAACGAUAACGGCGUCGAGCGGCGGACGGGUGAGUAAUGCCUAGGAAAUUGCCCUGAUGUGGGGGAUAACCAUUGGAAACGAUGGCUAAUACCGCAUGAUGCCUACGGGCCAAAGAGGGGGACCUUCGGGCCUCUCGCGUCAGGAUAUGCCUAGGUGGGAUUAGCUAGUUGGUGAGGUAAGGGCUCACCAAGGCGACGAUCCCUAGCUGGUCUGAGAGGAUGAUCAGCCACACUGGAACUGAGACACGGUCCAGACUCCUACGGGAGGCAGCAGUGGGGAAUAUUGCACAAUGGGCGCAAGCCUGAUGCAGCCAUGCCGCGUGUAUGAAGAAGGCCUUCGGGUUGUAAAGUACUUUCAGUCGUGAGGAAGGCGGCGUCGUUAAUAGCGGCGUUGUUUGACGUUAGCGACAGAAGAAGCACCGGCUAACUCCGUGCCAGCAGCCGCGGUAAUACGGAGGGUGCGAGCGUUAAUCGGAAUUACUGGGCGUAAAGCGCAUGCAGGUGGUUUGUUAAGUCAGAUGUGAAAGCCCGGGGCUCAACCUCGGAAUAGCAUUUGAAACUGGCAGACUAGAGUACUGUAGAGGGGGGUAGAAUUUCAGGUGUAGCGGUGAAAUGCGUAGAGAUCUGAAGGAAUACCGGUGGCGAAGGCGGCCCCCUGGACAGAUACUGACACUCAGAUGCGAAAGCGUGGGGAGCAAACAGG
rnacentral:rRNA from 1 species